rnacentral:rRNA from 1 species
AUUGAACGCUGGCGGCAUGCUUUACACAUGCAAGUCGAACGGCAGCACGGGGGCAACCCUGGUGGCGAGUGGCGAACGGGUGAGUAAUAUAUCGGAACGUACCCCGGAAAUGGGGGAUAACGUAGCGAAAGUUACGCUAAUACCGCAUAUGCCCUAAGGGGGAAAGCGGGGGACUCGCAAGAACCUCGCGUUUUCGGAGCGGCCGAUAUCGGAUUAGCUAGUAGGUGAGGUAAAGGCUCACCUAGGCGACGAUCCGUAGCUGGUCUGAGAGGACGACCAGCCACACUGGAACUGAGACACGGUCCAGACUCCUACGGGAGCAGCAGUGGGGAAUUUUGGACAAUGGGCGCAAGCCUGAUCCAGCCAUGCCGCGUGAGUGAAGAAGGCC